UACGUAGGGAGCAAGCGUUGUCCGGAAUCAUUGGGCGUAAAGCGCGUGUAGGCGGCUUUCUAAGUCAGGGGUGAAAUCCUGGAGCUCAACUCCAGAACUGCCUUUGAUACUGGAGAGCUUGAGUCCGGAAGAGGUGAGUGGAACUCCGAGUGUAGAGGUGAAAUUCGUAGAUAUUCGGAAGAACACCAGUGGCGAAGGCGGCUCACUGGUCCGGUACUGACGCUGAGGUGCGAAAGCGUGGGGAGCAAACAGG
rnacentral:rRNA from 1 species